UUUUAUAAAGGUUGAUUUGGCGCUC
rnacentral:miRNA from 1 species